rnacentral:rRNA from 1 species
GACGAACGCUGGCGGCGUGCCUAAUACAUGCAAGUUGAGCGCUGAAGGUUGGUACUUGUACCGACUGGAUGAGCAGCGAACGGGUGAGUAACGCGUGGGGAAUCUGCCUUUGAGCGGGGGACAACAUUUGGAAACGAAUGCUAAUACCGCAUAAAAACUUUAAACACAAGUUUUAAGUUUGAAAGAUGCAAUUGCAUCACUCAAAGAUGAUCCCGCGUUGUAUUAGCUAGUUGGUGAGGUAAAGGCUCACCAAGGCGAUGAUACAUAGCCGACCUGAGAGGGUGAUCGGCCACAUUGGGACUGAGACACGGCCCAAACUCCUACGGGAGGCAGCAGUAGGGAAGCUUCGGCAAAGGACGAAAGUCUGACCGAGCAACGCCGCGUGAGUGAAGAAGGUUUUCGGAUCGUAAAACUCUGUUGGUAGAGAAGAACGUUGGUGAGAGUGGAAAGCUCAUCAAGUGACGGUAACUACCCAGAAAGGGACGGCUAACUACGUG